rnacentral:rRNA from 1 species
AUUGAACGCUGGCGGCAGGCUUAACACAUGCAAGUCGAACGAGUGGCGGACGGGUGAGUAAUGCUUGGGAAACUGCCUUAUGGAGGGGGAUAACUACUGGAAACGGUAGCUAAUACCGCAUACCAUCGGAUGAGCCCAUGUGGGAUUAGGUAGUAGGUGGGGUAAAGGCUCACCAAGCCGACGAUCCCUAGCUGGUCUGAGAGGAUGACCAGCCAGACUGGAACUGAGAGACGGACCAUACUCCUACGUGAGGCAGCAGUGGGGAAUAGUGCGCAAUGGGCGCAACCCUGAUGCAGCCAUGCCGCGUGUAUGAAGAAGGCCUUCGGGUUGUAAAGUACUUUCAGCGGGGAGGCGUUACCCGCAGAAGAAGCACCGGCUAACUCCGUGCCAGCCGCCGCGGUAAUAC